GCCUUCGUGGUGUAAUGGUCAGCAUACUCGUCACGUAGUCGAGAAGUCCGAGGUUCGAGUCCCGGUGAGAGCA
rnacentral:tRNA from 1 species